CUCAGGUUGCCUUUAUGCUUGAUGUGGGCAUGUGUCUACAGAUAAGAUUGUGAUUCUCUGUUAUAAACCUGAUGUUGAUCUUCUAUUCUUCUGUAUUGGCCAGAAUUGACCCAAAUUCCACCUUUUACUCAGACUGAUGGUAUCUUACUCAUUCAAAUCAUUGAGGUUACUCAGGAGCCUAGCUGAAAAGAACUCCAAGUUGCCAAGCAAGGGUCACAUGCUGCUUUUCUAUUCAGAGUUUUCAUCCCAAGCCCUCUAGGACCUCACCCAUCCGCCCUGAGUUCUCAAAGAUAACUGCCAAC